CCCGUCCGCCCCGUGGACGCCCCUGACCAUAAGGCCUCCGUCCGGCUACCCUGACGGCGUGCGCGCUCCUCGGGAAGCCCCUGCUCCACGCAUCCCGAGGUGACGCAAAGCCGACAGCCGUCGCAUCUGAGGGAGCCCUUUCAUG
rnacentral:sRNA from 1 species